ACGGAAGGCAGCAGUGGGGAAUAUUGGGCAAUGGGGGAAACCCUGACCCAGCAACGCCGCGUGAAGGAAGAAGGCCUUCGGGUUGUAAACUUCUUUUACCAGGGACGAUAAUGACGGUACCUGGAGAAAAAGCAACGGCUAACUACGUGCCAGCAGCCGCGGUAAUACGUAGGUUGCAAGCGUUGUCCGGAUUUACUGGGUGUAAAGGGCGUGUAGGCGGAGCUGCAAGUCAGAUGUGAAAUCCCGGGGCUCAACCCCGGAACUGCAUUUGAAACUGUAGCCCUUGAGUAUCGGAGAGGCAAGCGGAAUUCCUAGUGUAGCGGUGAAAUGCGUAGAUAUUAGGAGGAACACCAGUGGCGAAGGCGGCUUGCUGGACGACAACUGACGCUGAGGCGCGAAAGCGUGGGGAGCAACCAGGAUUAGAUACCCUGGUA
rnacentral:rRNA from 1 species